GCAAGUGGAUACGAAAGAAGAGGUAUAUCCCUGGGUCUCUAAUAGUGCCCCAUGCCAGAGCAAACUGUGGCCUUGAACUAUUGCCUGGCCUCUACCUGUAGACUGCAAGCACUGUAGUAGGUUUCACAGUG